UACGUAGGGCCCGAGCGUUGUCCGGAAUCAUUGGGCGUAAAGCGCGUGUAGGCGGCCCCUUAAGUCCUGCGUGAAAUCCUGCGGCUCAACCGCAGACGGUCGUGGGAAACUGGAGGGCUAGAGUGCGGGAGAGGAGAGUGGAAUUCCCGGUGUAGCGGUGAAAUGCGCAGAUAUCGGGAGGAACACCAGUGGCGAAGGCGGAACUCUGGGCCGGAACUGACGCUGAGGAGCGAAAGCUAGGGGAGCAAACAGG
rnacentral:rRNA from 1 species